rnacentral:ncRNA from 2 species
AGUGAAGAUAGAGGUGCGAAUUUUAAGAGUACACAUUUGGAAGAGUAUGAGCUCUAAAGACAAAUGUGGAAAGGAAAAUUUGCCGAAGUGAAUGACAUCUCAUAGAGUCAUUUGCUGGUUCUGCGUUGAAUAAAUGUAGGAUUGUCAAGAAUGUGUUUCUUGGAGAGCUAUCUCACGG